AAGUCGUAACAAGGUUUCCGUAGGUGAACCUGCGGAAGGAUCAUUCAUAGAGAAACACAACUAAGGUUGCCGUCAGGCAGUCUUUGUGUGUCUCAUUCUAAACUCAAGAGGAGGCCUUUUCGGAGGUCGUUUCCUAGGAAACAUACAAGGCUGAUGACGCGGUUCUUGAAACCUUUUUCGUCGCACACAGUCCUUAAUCUUCUGUCAAACAAAAGUGAAGAGUGAAAAAGGUUUUCAUUUCAACCACUAUACUUACCACCCUAAUUCUAACAUAAUCAAUUGAAUCUAAUUCAAAACAACUUUUGACAACGGAUCUCUUGGUUCUC
rnacentral:misc_RNA from 1 species